rnacentral:rRNA from 1 species
AGCCGCCGCGGUAAUACCUGCAGCCCAAGUGGUGGUCGAUUUUAUUGAGUCUAAAACGUUCGUAGCCGGUCUGGUAAAUCCUUGGGUAAAUCGGGGAGCUCAACUUUCCGAAUUCCGAGGAGACUGCCAGACUUGGGACCGGGAGAGGCUAGAGGUACUUCUGGGGUAGGGGUAAAAUCCUGUAAUCCUAGAAGGACCACCGGUGGCGAAGGCGUCUAGCUAGAACGGAUCCGACGGUGAGGGACGAAGCCCUGGGUCGCAAACGGGAUUAGAUACCCCGGUAGUCCAGGGUGUAAACGCUGCAGACUUGGUGUUGGAGGCCCUUCGGGGGCAUUCAGUGCCGGAGAGAAGUUGUUAAGUCUGCUACUUGGGGAGUACGUCCGCAAGGAUGAAACUUAAAGGAAUUGGCGGGGGAGCACCGCAACGGGAGGAGCGUGCGGUUUAAUUGGACUCAACGCCGG